rnacentral:tRNA from 1 species
GGUAGCGUGGCUGAGCGGUCUAAGGCGCUGGUUUUAGGCACCAGUCAUUUCGAUGGCGUGGGUUCGAAUCCCACCGCUGCCA